AAAAAAAAAACAGCUUAAUGAUCUGUAAGAAAUAUUUUAGCAAUGCCCCGGAAUUUUGGACCUUAUUCUACUUUAUAAACUUUCGAUUUCACAAUUGUCUACUUCUAACAGAAAAUUGGCAAAAUUAACAGUACAGAGAAAAUUGCGACAAGUUAAAGGUUUAAAGUGCUCGAAACCAAAUUAAGUGUAGGGCAAAAUGGUGCAAAAUCUAUAAUUUAAAAGCAAUGCUAAAUUUGAUGAAUAUAAUUGCCCAAAAAAAUACUGACCAUGGUGUUGGC
rnacentral:lncRNA from 1 species